rnacentral:snRNA from 1 species
AGCUUUGCGCAUGGCAGUAUCGUAGCCUAUGAGGUUUAUCCGAGGCGCGAUUAUUGCUAAGUUGAAAACUCUUAAACCCAAUACCGUCCCGCCUUGACACUGGAAAUAUAGUCGGCUAUGGCAAUUUUUGUCAGUCUCUCAGAGA